CUGCCUCUGGAGCCGCAGCACCUCUCGCUGGGAUUCCCGCAGCAGGCGGUCAAACUCGAUGACGUUCAGGCAGCAAGGGUCAUCCUGUGGGAAACCAACCAUGGCACCAUGGCACUGACAAGCUCCAAAAGAAACUCUAAUCCAGAGGAACACUCCCAAGAAAGUCAUGAGAAUUCUGCCUUCACCCUGGGAAGCCACUGAGCUGCAGAAAUGUUGGGAAGCGAGACCAGAGCAAUUCCAAAGGCCCAGGAGGAAGGAUACACUUGUGACAACCCCCAGACAGCAUUAUCCAGUGGGGCCAUGGUGGGACACACUGCUCUGACGAGGAGCUGGGAAAGCCUGCAGUGCCUUGCAGAAUGUAGGGACAUGUGACAAAUGGAUGGAGAGAUGUGAGCACAAACCUCAACAAGGAAAAUUCCCACCAGGAUAUGGAGAACAUUUCUUGGUGGGAUCCCAGCCCCUGGAGAUAUUCAACACUUGCCUGGUCAGGACAUGAUCAGCCUCUUCCAUCUCUGGAGCCUUCUAGGGGCAGAGGCUGAAUGGGAGGCUCCAGGUGUGUCCCCCCUGUCCCACCUCCUUAACUCCAGAGUUCCUCUGCCAGCUCCCAGAUGGGAGAAGGGCAACAGCUCCCUGCACUCUGCACUCAGGAGAGACGCAGGCAAGGACGCCAAGAUUAACUUGACCUCCAGACAGUCUUAAUGCCUCUCCACAGCCUGUCCCCGAGGGAAUGGCUGAGCAGUGGUGGCAGAAGCUGGGACACACAGCAAGAGCUUCAUCAUAAAAUCAACAUCUUUAAUCAACUCUGUCAGUGAUGAGCCCUCAGGAGGCUCUUCUCCACACCAGGAGAGGACUCCCUGGAGGCAGCUGUCCUGUUCACAUAAUGCAGCUCUGACAUCCCAAGGACAAAUGUCCUGAAGGAAGCUUGUCUCUGGCAGCACAAGACACAGGGUGUGUCCCAGCCUAGCCAGGAGCAGCCAAGCUUUGGAGGGGAGCUGUGCAAGUCUGGCUUGGCCCCAGCUCUAACACAGUACCUCAUCCCCAGGUAGGAGGGUGUUGCUCCACAGCCCAGCAGCCCAGCAGCAGUGAGGACAGCAGCACUGAGCUCCCUCCUGGGACUGAACUGAAAGCCUUUCACAUCCCUAAAGCCACUUGGCUCCAGGAGAAACUGCUGGAUUUUGUUUUCCCAGGAAAACACAAGGUAACCUUUCUGGAAAUCAGUAUCAAUGUUAAGGAUUGUACUGCCAUGGUACCACCAGCACCACUCCAAUGACAUCACAGUGCCACUGUGGCACUGCCAUGAUACAGCAGAGUAACACUGGUCCCACAGCCCCAUCAGUCUGGCACCAGAGCACAUCAUGGCACCACCAGCACCACCGGUCCCACCACAGUACACGGAGCUCUGAUGGUACUACCAUGGUGCUGUCAGAAUGCCAUGGAAAGGCUCCCACCCAGCUAGGAACCUCCAGGAUGCAGGAAAACAGUGCAGCCCAAGGACCAAGGCAAACUGGAUGGCAGCCACAAAGCCAAGGAACAUGGGAAGCUGGGACAACAAGAAGUAAAACAGUCAUAUCUGGACAGCUCAGUGAAAGAAAAAUACCACAAACUCAGUAAAUCCCCCCAAAUGAUCCUGAGACCAGCAUAAGAAGUUUUACAAAAUUUAAAAACGUUCCAUUUGGGUUUAAAAUAAAAAGUAUUUUUAAUAUUUUUUCCUACUAUUUUUAGAUCCUCUCUUCCACAGGCAGGAGGACAUUGGGAGUCAAAGACAAAGGGAUGGUGCCUGAAGGGGUUUUGGAAGCUGACAUUUGGGAACACGGACCAAACCUCCUCUGUGGAAGCUGGGUUAGUUUUAGACCCCCAGGAAACACAGGCCAGGGGAGUGUGGAUGGAGGGAGACUGGGAUU